ensembl:lncRNA
GUUAUCUGAAAUCAGAUCACUUUGGUGUAUGGGCUCUUUAUUUAAAUAUGCUGAGCCCAGGAAUUUGUAGUGUUCAGGUCACACUUUAGGUGUUCACAUUGCACUAAAAAAUUGUAGAGGUUGUGAUGUGUGAUGUAACUUUGUUUUCUAACCAUAUGAUUCUACACACUGAUGUAUGUAGGGUUGGGAUGGAGAAGGAUUUAAACUGAUUUCUUUUUCUCUUUGCCAUUCAGGCAAUGGGAGGCAAGGGAAAAAGAAAUUCAAAAUUGGGAGCAUGCAGAGGGAGGUUGAGGAGGAAGGAAAAAACAGAUGUGUCUUUUGGAAGUCAAUAAUGGAACGUUUUUGCUACGUUCAAAGGGAAAGGCUACCCACUCCAGUAUUCUGGCCUAGAGAAUUCCACCGACUAUAUAGUCCAUGCGGUUGCAAAGAGUCGGACACGACUGGGCAACUUUCAUUUUCAAUGGCUUGCUAUAGGAUUGGAAGUUUGCAUUUUUAGAAAUUUAUUCUUUCCAUCAAGAUGCAAAUAUUCAGAAGAGGAGAAUCCCUUUACACUAAAACCGAAAGUUUAGUUUUCAGCUAAAUACUAGCAUGUUAUUAAAUGUAUACCUACUUUUUAAAUUUACGGCAAGAUCUUUCAGGAAGAGGACCCAGAAGAAAACUACCUUGGGAUUUGAGAGUUGGUGGGUGAAUGGGAAGCAAACACCAUGUGUGGGAAAAGGAGUGAUUAAAGGGAGAUGGAAAGCACUAAAAAAAGAUCCUCUAGACCACAUUUUUAGUGGGUCAGGCUGAGUUGCUCUUGCCAUGUUUCAGUGUUUGUUUUUUUCCUACUACUGCCUGUAUCUUUAGAUUCCAUUCUUUUUUUUAGAAGCAGGGACUAGUAGUUGGUUGCUUUGUUUUGUUUUUAAUUUUAGUGUGCAUUCUUUGCCACUCUGUGUUGAUAAUCCCAAGUUGAUUUUUAAUUUUUAACAAGUAAUGAGUAAAUCUAAAAGUCUAAAGAAGCAC